rnacentral:rRNA from 1 species
AGAGUUUGAUCCUGGCUCAGAUUGAACGCUGGCGGCAGGCCUAACACAUGCAAGUCGAGCGGUAACAGGGAAAGCUUGCUUUCUGCUGACGAGCGGCGGACGGGUGCGUAACACGUAGGAAUCUGCCUGGUAGUGGGGGAUAGCCCGGAGAAAUCCGGAUUAAUACCGCAUACGCCCUAAGGGGGAAAGGAGGGGACCCAUUUCUUUUAUUAGGAGUGAGCCUUUCGCUAUCAGAUGAGCCUGCGUCGGAUUAGCUUGUUGGUGGGGUAAAGGCCUACCAAGGCGACGAUCCGUAGCUGGUCUGAGAGGAUGAUCAGCCACACUGGGACUGAGACACGGCCCAGACUCCUACGGGAGGCAGCAGUGGGGAAUAUUGCACAAUGGGCGAAAGCCUGAUGCAGCCAUGCCGCGUGUGUGAAGAAGGCCUUAGGGUUGUAAAGCACUUUCAGCGAGGAGGAAAGGAUUAAAGUUAAUACCUUUAGUCUGUGACGUUACUCGCAGAAGAAGCACCGGCUAACUCCGUGCCAGCAGCCGCGGUAAUACGGAGGGUGCGAGCGUUAAUCGGAAUUACUGGGCGUAAAGCGUGCGUAGGCGGCUACUUAAGUUGGAUGUGAAAGCCCCGGGCUCAACCUGGGAACUGCAUCCAAAACUGAGUGGCUAGAGUGCGAGAGAGGAGUGUGGAAUUUCCUGUGUAGCGGUGAAAUGC